CUAAUACUGGAUAAGACCACGAGCUCCUCGGAGCUUGCGGCAAAAAGAUGGCCUCUCCUUGGAAGCUAUCGCCCUUCGAUGAGCCCGCGUCCCAUUAGCUAGUUGGUGAGGUGACGGCUCACCAAGGCUUUGAUGGGUAGCUGGUCUGAGAGGAUGAUCAGCCACACUGGAACUGAGACACGGUCCAUACUCCUACGGGAGGCAGCAGUCGGGGAAUUUUGGGCAAUGGGCGAAAGCCUGACCCAGCAACGCCGCGUGAGGGAUGAAGGCCCUCGGGUCGUAAACCUCUGUCGGGAGGGAAGAAUGGUUGCCGUUCAAAUAGGGCGGGAACCUGACGGUACCUCCAAAGGAAGCACCGGCUAACUCCGUGCCAGCAGCCGCGGUAA
rnacentral:rRNA from 1 species